UACGAAGGGGCUAGCGUUGCUCGGAAUCACUGGGCGUAAAGGCGCGUAGGCGGCCGAUUAAGUCGGGGUGAAAGCCUGUGGCUCAACCACAGAAUUGCCUUCGAUACUGGUUGGCUUGAGACCGGAAGAGGACAGCGGAACGUGCGAGUGUAGAGGUGAAAUUCGAUAGAUAUUCGCAAGAACACCAGUGGCGAAGGCGGCUGUCUGGUCCGGUUCUGACGCUGAGGCGCGAAAGCGUGGGGAGCAAACAGG
rnacentral:rRNA from 1 species